rnacentral:rRNA from 1 species
GGGUAGCGCCGGGCCAGCAGUGAGGGGAAGAGGGGGGGUGCAAGCGUUAUCCGAAUUGAUUGGGUUUAAAGGGGACGUAGGCGGACCGGUAUGUCAGUGGUGAAAGGCUACAGCGUAACUGUAGAACUGCCGUUGAGACGGUCGGUCUGGAGUGUGGUUGAGGUAGCUGGAAUGAGUAGUGUAGCGGUGAAAUGCAUAGAUAUUACUCAGAACACCAAUUGCGAAGGCAGGUUACCAAGUCACAACUGACGCUGAUGGACGAAAGCGUGGGGAGCGAACAGGAUUAGAUACCCUAGUAGC